ACCAGUCAUAGAACAGAUGAUAUUCAGCCAUUAAAAACAGGAAAAUAUUCAACAUUAUUGAAAAGAUCACAGAUCAUUGAAAAAGGAAAACAGAUUAACAGAGUACCAAAGAACUGCACAGCUCAAUUCCAUUUUGGCAAAUAUACAUACACAUACAUACAAUAUAUAUUCAUCUAUAUGUGCAUGCAUCUCUGUGUGUGUAUGUGUGUAUACUUUCCUCUACUUAUGAUUUUCAACUUUUAAAGUUCUGAGGCAGGAAAACAGGGCCUGGAGGCAGGGCACUGAAGGCCAAUUCACACUGACUUCCUAGAACUGAAUCAAAAGGAAAACCCCACCUCUCCACACCCAAGUAACAAAAGGAUCAGAGGCUACCCCUUUGCACUCUGUGGCAGAUGAAAAAUUGAAAGUACCUCUGAUUAGUCCCCUCCCACAAUUGGUGGGAGGGUCAGACUGGUCACAUGCUACUCCUUCAUUUACAUAGGGUGUAACCAAGUAACCAAUGGGAAAACUUCUACAGGGUAUUUAAACGCCAGAAAAUUCUGUAACCAGUGCUCUUGAGCUACUUGCUUGAGCCUGCUCCCACUCUGUGGAGUAUACUUUCAUUUCAAUAAAUCUGGCUUUUAUUGCUUCAUUCUUUCAUUGCUUUGUUUGUGCAUUUUGUUCAAAACGUCAAGAACUUGGACAAUCUGUAGUCAAGGACCUCCACUGAUAACAGUUCCACAGAUACACGCAAAGACAAAGAACACAGAAAGCACAUCACCCACAAAAUGCAGAGUACUCUGGAAGGUAAGCUCCAUGACAGCAAGGAACUUAUCUGCCUUCACCAGGGAAAUGCCCCUACCAGGGCGCAAAACAGGGCCCUGUACAUGUGAGCACACAGCAAGAAGGUAGCUGUCUGCAAGCUGGGAAGAGAGACCUAACCAAAACUUAACCACGCUGGCACCCUGAUCUCAGAAACUCAGUCUCCAGAACUGUGAGAAAAUAAAUGUCUGUUGUUUAAGCCACGCAGUCUGUGGUAUUUUGUUAUAGAAGACUGACUGAGCAGACUAAUACAAGGAUUUUGUAUUCUGACUGUGUCAUGUGUGACUUUGAGCAAUUAUUCAACUUCGCUGAGCUUGCAGUUUUCAUAGCUGCAAAAGGGGGACAGUAACAGUUUUCUUAUUGGAAUUAGUAGGGCUGAUGUACACAUUCUUUCUUUCACCUUCUUUCCUUUUUUGUAGCUAGAUAUUACCCUCAUUUGGCUCCGACUUACCCACAUGCAACUUGACUUUUCAUAGCCUCUAUCUGUCCUUGCUUUAUGAUAGAUACUUUGAAACUCCUGCUUAAUGCUUCAAAUAACUAAAUCAUUGCUAUUUGUAUUUUUUUGCUUAACAUUUUUAUUAUCUUUUACAAAUUUAACUGGCAAAGACUGUACUUAUCCAGCGUGUACAACAUGAAGAUUUGAUCCACGUAAUCGUGUAAUGAUUUCCACGGUCAAAUUAACACAUCUAUUGCCACCCAUGCCAUACAUUAGAUUCCCAGAACUUGCUCAUCCUAUAACCGACACUUUCUACCCUUUGAUCAACAUCUCCCCAUCCUGCCCCUGGUAAAGAAUGUUCUACUCUCUGCUUCUAGGAGUCUAACUUUUUUAGAUUCCACAUAGAAGUCAGAUCAGGUAGGAUUUGUCUAUGGCUGUAGGAAUUUUCUUUUUGAUUUCAAUAGUUUUGGGGGUACGAGUGGUUUCUGGUUACAUGGAUGAGUUCUUUAUUGGUGAUUCUGAGAUUUUUGUUUACCCAUCACCCAAGCAGUGUACACUGUACCCAAUGCGUAGUCUUUUAUCGCUCACCCACCUCUUAGCCUUUCCCCGGAAAGUCCACAAAGUCCAUAAUAUCACUCUUAAGCCUUUGCAUUCUCAUAGCUUAGCUCCCACUUAUAAGUGAGAACAUAUAAUAUUUGAUUUUCCAUUCUUGAGUUACUUCACUUAGAAUAAUGGCCUCCAUCUCCACCUAAGUUAUUGCAAAAGACAUUAUUUUGUUCCUUUUUAUGAGUGAGUAAUAUUCCAUGAUGCAUAUAUACCACACUUUAUCCACUCAUUGGUCAAUGGACACUUAGAUGGGUUUCAUAUCUUUGCUAUUGCAAAUUGUGCUGCUAUAAACAUGCACGUGCAUGUAUCUUUUUCAUAUAAUGACUUAUUUUCCUUUGGGUAGAUGCCCAGGAGUGGAAUUGCUGGAUUGAAUGGUACUUCUACUUUUAGUUCUUUAAACAUGUUUCAUAGUUGUCAUACUAAUAAUUUGCAUUCCCUGUUUUUCAUAGUCUGUUUUUCAUAGUUUUUCAUACUGUUUUUCAUAGUCGUCGUACUAAUAAUUUGCAUUCCCCCAGCAGUGUAACAAUGUUCCCCUUUCACCACGUCUAUGCCCACAUCUAUUGUUUUUUGACUUCUCAAUUAUGGUAUGGCUAUAUGUAUUUUAAUUACAGUAUCAAGUACCUGGGGUCCACCCUCCCUCUCUGCUUCCCUCUGUCCCUUCUUCUCUUCCUCCUUCACUUUUUAUUAGUCAUUUACUUGUUUCCCAUUUCCCUGAAUGAAAGUGAUUCAUAAAAUCAGCCUCUCCAGGAGAUGCUGCUUUCACUUCCAUUUACAUAACAUUUCCUUAGUGUGGCCCUAAAUAGUUGUGCAAGUUACACGCUGUGCCUUGUGGGGAGGGUAUGAAAUGAAUAAGGCUCCUCUGAGCCUUUAGAGAUU
rnacentral:lncRNA from 1 species